rnacentral:rRNA from 1 species
AGCAGCCGCGGUAAUUCCAGCUCCAAUAGCGUAUAUUAAAGUUGCUGCAGUUAAAAAGCUCGUAGUUGAAUUUCGGGACCAAUAUGUCGGUCGUGCCUCGGUACGUACUGGCAUCGUUGGUUUCUCCCUUCUGACGAACCAUGAUGUCAUUUAUUUGGUGUCGUGGGGAAUCAGGACUGUUACUUUGAAAAAAUUAGAGUGUUUAAAGCAGGCUCACGCUUGAAUACGUUAGCAUGGAAUAAUGAAAUAGGACGUUUGAUUCUAUUUUGUUGGUUUCUAGGAUCGACGUAAUGAUUAAUAGGGAUAGUUGGGGGCAUUAGUAUUCAAUUGUCAGAGGUGAAAUUCUUGGAUUUAUUGAAGACUAACUACUGCGAAAGCAUUUGCCAAGGAUGUUUUCAUUAAUCAAGAACGAAAGUUAGAGGUUCGAAGGCGAUCAGAUACCGCCCUAGUUCUAACCAUAAACGAUGCCAACCAGCGAUCAGCCCGAGUUCGAAAAUGACUCGGCUGGC